GAUGAACGCUGGCGGCGUGCCUAAUACAUGCAAGUCGAGCGAACAGAUGAGGAGCUUGCUCCUCUGACGUUAGCGGCGGACGGGUGAGUAACACGUGGAUAACCUACCUAUAAGACUGGGAUAACUUCGGGAAACCGGAGCUAAUACCGGAUAAUAUAUUGAACCGCAUGGUUCAAUAGUGAAAGACGGUUUUGCUGUCACUUAUAGAUGGAUCCGCGCCGCAUUAGCUAGUUGGUAAGGUAACGGCUUACCAAGGCAACGAUGCGUAGCCGACCUGAGAGGGUGGACGGCCCCGCGGGAACGGAAACCCGGCCCAACCCCCAACGGGAGGCAGCAGUGGGGAAUUUGCCGGAAUGGGGGAAAGCCUGACGGAGCAACGCCGGGUGAGUGAUGAAGGUCUUCGGAUCGGAAAACUCUGUUUUUGGGGAAGAAAAAAUGUGUAAGUAACUAUGCACGUUUUGACGGUACCUAAUCAAAAAGCCACGGCUAACUACGU
rnacentral:rRNA from 1 species